UACAGAGGUCCCGAGCGUUGUUCGGAUUCAUUGGGCGUAAAGGGUGCGUAGGCGGCGGGGCAAGUCUGAUGUGAAAUCCCGGGGCUCACCCCGGAACUGCAUUGGAUACUGCCUUGCUCGAGUACUGGAGAGGGAACUGGAAUUUACGGUGUAGCAGUGAAAUGCGUAGAGAUCGUAAGGAAGGCCAGUGGCGAAGGCGAGUUCCUGGACAGUUACUGACGCUGAGGCACGAAGGCCAGGGGAGCAAACGGG
rnacentral:rRNA from 1 species